UGAAGCGAGAGUAAAAUCUCGUGGAGGACCGAACCACGUUGGUGUUGAAAAACCAUGGGAUGAGCUGUGGAUAGCGGAGAAAUUCCAAUCGAACUCGGAGAUAGCUGGUUCUCCUCGAAAUAGCUUUAGGGCUAGCGUCGUGUAAUUGAGUAAUGGAGGUAGAGCACUGAAUGGGCUAGGGGCUAUAGUAGUUACCGAACCCUAUCAAACUCCGAAUGCCAUAUACUUGUAUCACGGCAGUCAGACUGCGAAUGAUAAGAUCCGUAGUCAAAAGGGAAACAGCCCAGACCAUCAGCUAAGGUCCCAAAGUGUAAGUUAAGUGGAAAAGGAUGUGGGAUUUCUAAGACAACUAGGAUGUUGGCUUAGAAGCAGCCACUCAUUUAAAGAGUGCGUAAUAGCUCACUAGUCAAGAGAUCCUGCGCCGAAGAUGUCCGGGGCUCAAACUUACCACCGAAGCUAUGGGUGUACACUAUGUGUACGCGGUAGAGGAGCUUUCUGUAUGGGUUGAAGUCGUACCGUAAGGAGCGGUGGACUGUACAGAAGUGAGAAUGCUGGCAUAAGUAGCGAGAAAUAAGUGAGAAUCUUAUUGGCCGAAAACCUAAGGUUUCCUGAGGAAGGUUCGUCCGCUCAGGGUUAGUCGGGACCUAAGCCGAGGCCGAAAGGCGUAGGUGAUGGACAAUCGGUUGAUAUUCCGAUACCACCUAUUUACGUUUGAGAAAUGGGGUGACGCAGUAGGAUAAGAUGUGCGCACUAUUGGAUGUGCGUCUAAGCACUUAGGCAUGCUUGAUAGGCAAAUCCGUCGAGCUAAGCUGAGGUGUGAUGGGGAGCCAUUUAUGGCGAAGUAUCUGAUUCCACACUGCCAAGAAAAGCCUCUAUCGAGUGAAUAGGUGCCCGUACCGCAAACCGACACAGGUAGGUGAGGAGAGAAUCCUAAGGCCAUCGGAAGAAUUGCUGUUAAGGAACUCGGCAAAUUGACCCCGUAACUUCGGGAGAAGGGGUGCCUACGAAAGUAGGCCGCAGAGAAUAGGCCCAAGCAACUGUUUAGCAAAAACACAGGUCUCUGCUAAAGCGAAAGCUGAUGUAUAGGGGCUGACGCCUGCCCGGUGCUGGAAGGUUAAGGGGAACACUUAGCGUAAGCGAAGGUGUGAACUUAAGCCCCAGUAAACGGCGGCCGUAACUAUAACGGUCCUAAGGUAGCGAAAUUCCUUGUCGGGUAAGUUCCGACCCGCACGAAUGGCGUAAUGAUUUGGGCACUGUCUCAACAGCAAAUCCGGCGAAAUUGUAGUGCAAGUGAAGAUGCUUGCUACCCGCGAUUGGACGGAAAGACCCCGUAGAGCUUUACUGUAGCUUAGCAUUGAAUCUCGGUAUUGUCUGUACAGGAUAGGUGGGAGACUUGGAA
rnacentral:rRNA from 1 species